rnacentral:rRNA from 1 species
ACGAACGCUGGCGGCGUGCUUAACACAUGCAAGUCGAACGGAAAGGCCCUGCUUUUGUGGGGUGCUCGAGUGGCGAACGGGUGAGUAACACGUGAGUAACCUGCCCUUGACUUUGGGAUAACUUCAGGAAACUGGGGCUAAUACCGGAUAGGAGCUCCUGCUGCAUGGUGGGGGUUGGAAAGUUUCGGCGGUUGGGGAUGGACUCGCGGCUUAUCAGCUUGUUGGUGGGGUAGUGGCUUACCAAGGCUUUGACGGGUAGCCGGCCUGAGAGGGUGACCGGCCACAUUGGGACUGAGAUACGGCCCAGACUCCUACGGGAGGCAGCAGUGGGGAAUAUUGCACAAUGGGCGGAAGCCUGAUGCAGCAACGCCGCGUGCGGGAUGACGGCCUUCGGGUUGUAAACCGCUUUCGCCUGUGACGAAGCGUGAGUGACGGAAAUGGGUAAAGAAGCACCGGCUAACUACGUG